ACGAACGCUGGCGGCGUGCUUAACACCUGCCAGUCGAACGGAAAGGCCCUGCUUUUGUGGGGUGCUCGAGUGGCGAACGGGUGAGUAACACGUGAGUAACCUGCCCUUGACUUUGGGAUAACUUCAGGAAACUGGGGCUAAUACCGGAUAGGAGCUCCUGCUGCAUGGUGGGGGUUGGAAAGUUUCGGCGGUUGGGGAUGGACUCGCGGCUCAUCAGCUUGUUGGUGGGGUAGUGGCUUACCAAGGCUUUGACGGGUAGCCGGCCUGAGAGGGUGACCGGCCACAUUGGGACUGAGAUACGGCCCAGACUCCUACGGGAGGCAGCAGUGGGGAAUAUUGCACAAUGGGCGGAAGCCUGAUGCAGCAACGCCGCGUGCGGGAUGACGGCCUUCGGGUUGUAAACCGCUUUCGCCUGUGACGAAGCGUGAGUGACGGUAAUGGGUAAAGAAGCACCGGCUAACUACGUG
rnacentral:rRNA from 1 species